UACCAAAGAGGGCUUCACAUAGCUACAGUCUUUUCCUCAAAUGUGCCCAAGAGUGUCUCAUCCAGAAGUCACUGCACUUGCUACCUGCCUGCCAGGUGAUGUCUUUCCUAACAUCUGUGCCUCUCCUUCCCCAUCCAGCUCUCAGGUCAGAUGUCAUCUCGGAGUUAUCUUCCCACCCAGUUCUAAACUAGUAUUGCCCACCCGUGCUUCCCUACUCCUGUAUCUUCCCCAUAUGUAUACUCUAUUUUUUCUUCAUACCAUUGAUUACCACCUUUAAGUAUCUGGCUCAUUAAUUUCUCUCUCCACCCUCUCUAGAACAGCACUGCUCAGGGGAACGUUCUUUGGUGAAGGAAUAUUCCAGAUCUGCACUGUCCAACAUAGUAGUCGUUAGCUGCAGGUGACCAGUGAACAUUUGAAAGGCCAGCACAACUAAGGAACUGAACUGAAUUUAGCAGCAGGAUAGGUUCAUCUGCAGCAACUACGCAGGACUGUAAGGAAGGAGUAACCUGAGCAGAUAAGACAGCAACUGGAGGGAAUGCCCAACUGCACGAGGAAAGCCUAACCAGCGAGGUGAGGGGAGUGGAUCCCUCCUUGUACACCUAUGCCAGAACUCGACUGAGACCAGCUCUGAUCAAAUUUCUGAAUGCAGUUAAAUGUAAUAUACAUUCUAACAGCAUGUUCUCAGUGAAUCCUGACAAGCUGAUGAUCUGUAAACCUUAAAAACAGGACCAGUAUCAGUCACCAGUAUCUUACAAAGAGGAAAACGAAGUCUCGUGUUUUUGAGCAGCUAUAUGUAUUUUAAAGGAACUUAAGACAGCAACUUGUUGCUACCAAAUUUUUUCACUUAUAUCUUGGUUGAUUCUCCAUUCUAUUUCUAGAAAUGCUAUCUACACAAAAAACCCAACUCGACUGUGGAAAAAAUUGUAUGCAAGGAUGUUCUGCAACCACUUGAAUGUCCAUCAAGAGAAAAAAGUCAAAUGUGGUCUAUACUGCAUUUGUGAAAAUGAAUGAUGCAAACCUGU